CCUACGGGAGGCAGCAGUGGGGAAUAUUUCACAAUGGGGGAAACCCUGAUGCAGCGACGCCGCGUGAGUGAAGAAGUAUUUUGGUACGUAAAGCUCUAUCAGCAGGGAAGAAAAUGACGGUACCUGACUAAGAAGCCCCGGCUAACUACGUGCCAGCAGCCGCGGUAAUACGUAGGGGGCAAGCGUUAUCCGGAUUUACUGGGUGUAAAGGGAGCGUAGACGGCAGCGGAAGUCUGAAGUGAAAUCCCAUGGCUUAACCAUGGCACUGCUUUGGAAACUGUGAAGCUGGAGUGAAGGAGGGGUAAGCGGAAUUCCUAGUGUAGCAGUGAAAUGCGUAGAUAUUGGGAGGAACACCAGUGGCGAAGGCGGGUUACUGGACUGUAACUGACGUUGAGGCUCGAAAGCGAGGGGAGCAAACAGGAUUAGAUACCCGGGUAGUC
rnacentral:rRNA from 1 species